UCCGAAUUGGUGUAGUGGCUAACAUUUGACGCUCUCAAGAACUUGCGAACCGUCAAGCCCGGGGUUCGAUUCCCCGAUUCGGAG
rnacentral:tRNA from 1 species